GUAGCAUCUCUACUUGGUCUGUGCACGGCGUGGAGUCGACGCCAUCUUGUUGUGUUUCAGAUUAUUCAAUCUGGUAGUUUCUACGAUUAUGAGCCCACAGUACAAAAGCUGAAUUUUUAUAUAGAUGCAGGUUACGCAGGCAGAAGAGCCUAACGUCAGAAGAGUCGGUGUGCAGGAAGAAUAUAUAAAAUUCCGACCGUCACCCAAUUUUAAAAACAUGAAAAAGUUUUUAAAAAACAGGAGUAAUCAUCACUCGGUAACUCCUGAACCCCAAUGCGAAAAGUUGGAUCGAAAAGAAAUAAAACCGGUGGUAGUGCAACCGC